rnacentral:rRNA from 1 species
GACGUAGGGUGCAAGCGUUGUCCGGAUUUAUUGGGCGUAAAGAGCUCGUAGGCGGUCUGUCGCGUCGGCUGUGAAAACCCGGAGCUCAACUCCGGGCCUGCAGUCGAUACGGGCAGACUGGAGUACUGCAGGGGAGACUGGAAUUCCUGGUGUAGCGGUGAAAUGCGCAGAUAUCAGGAGGAACACCGGUGGCGAAGGCGGGUCUCUGGGCAGUUACUGACGCUGAGGAGCGAAAGCGUGGGGAGCGAACAGG